rnacentral:rRNA from 1 species
GACGAACGCUGGCGGCGUGCUUAACACAUGCAAGUCGAACGGAAAGGCCCUGCUUUUGGGGUAUUCGCGAGUGGCGAGCGGGUGUGUAACACGGGAGUAACCUGCCCUUGACUGUGGGAUAACUUCAGGAAACUGGGGAUAAUACCGGAGAGGAGCUCCUGCUGCAUGGGGUGGGUUGGAAAUUUUCGGCGGGUGGGGAUUGGCUCGCGGCUUAUCAGCUUGUUGGUGGGGUAGUGGCUUACCAAGGCUUGGACGGGUAGCCGGCUUGGGGGGGUGACCGGCACCAUUGGGCCUGGGAUCGGGCCCAGCCUCCACCGGGAGGCAGCAGUGGGGAAUAUUGCAAAAUGGCGGGAAGCCUGUUGAAGCACCGCGCGGUGCGGGAUGACGGCUUCCGGGUUGUAAACCGUUUCGGCAUGUGACGAAGCGUGAGUGACGGUACUGGGUAAAGAAGCACCGGCUAACUACGUG